AGUCGACGAUGAAGCCGCUUCGGUGGUGGAUUAGUGGCGAACGGGUGAGUAACACGUGGGCAAUCUGCCCUGCACUCUGGGACAAGCCCUGGAAACGGGGUCUAAUACCGGAUACGACACAGGAAGGCAUCUUCUCUGUGUGGAAAGCUCCGGCGGUGCAGGAUGAGCCCGCGGCCUAUCAGCUUGUUGGUGGGGUGAUGGCCUACCAAGGCGACGACGGGUAGCCGGCCUGAGAGGGCGACCGGCCACACUGGGACUGAGACACGGCCCAGACUCCUACGGGAGGCAGCAGUGGGGAAUAUUGCACAAUGGGCGAAAGCCUGAUGCAGCGACGCCGCGUGAGGGAUGACGGCCUUCGGGUUGUAAACCUCUUUCAGCAGGGAAGAAGCGCAAGUGACGGUACCUGCAGAAGAAGCACCGGCUAACUACGUGCCAGCAGCCGCGGUAAUACGUAGGGUGCGAGCGUUGUCCGGAAUUAUUGGGCGUAAAGAGCUCGUAGGCGGCUUGUCACGUCGGAUGUGAAAGCCCGGGGCUUAACCCCGGGUCUGCAUUCGAUACGGGCAGGCUAGAGUUCGGUAGGGGAGAUCGGAAUUCCUGGUGUAGCGGUGAAAUGCGCAGAUAUCAGGAGGAACACCGGUGGCGAAGGCGGAUCUCUGGGCCGAUACUGACGCUGAGGAGCGAAAGCGUGGGGAGCGAACAGGAUUAGAUACCCUGGUAGUCCACGCCGUAAACGUUGGGAACUAGGUGUGGGCGACAUUCCACGUCGUCCGUGCCGCA
rnacentral:rRNA from 1 species